GUCGGCCACCAUCGGCACCCUCCUCUCCGGCGACGGCGGCGGAAUCACAGCCGAAGACGACAUCAAUUCCUCCGGUUCUUGAAUCUCCUCCUCUCUCGCUGCGUUCUUGCGUUCUUGGUGGUGAAGAGGAAGGGACAGGGAGGAACUGAGAAGUUCAGAAAUGAAAAAGGGAAAUGUAGGUUGGUUGUGAGAUGAUGAGUUCUUCAGACCUUUGUUUGCCUGAGAAUGGUAGUUGUCUGCUUUGAUGAAGCUGCAACCUAAGGUUUCAGCAAGGAGUGCUACUACUGUCCUGCGAAUUCACAGUGAAAUGCUGAAUUCAUAAGAACUGUCAUAAAUUCUGCUAAGAGGACAAAAAAAAAAACUGAAGUAAAUUCAAGAUUUAAAAAUGAACAGUACUAUUACAAAAUCUAAAUGUAGGUCUGAAAGUCACAUCCUAAUUGCUCUUGGAUUCUUCCUCUCACAAAAUCUGAAUUUCAACAUGCACAAAAUCUGACCAUAUUGUCACUUUUCAGGCCUAUUAUCACCUCACAAAAUCUGACCAUAUUGUCACUUUUCAGUCCUAUUAUCACCUCACAGCAAUGAUGCAAAAAAUAUUGCUCUACUAGGAGAUGAAGCCAGGAAGGUUCAAGCAGCCCAGCGGCAAACAGGGUUUCUACUGAAGGAUUAAUUCAGAUUUUGUAAAUAAAAUGAAACUCAAGAACUGAGUACACUCAGUAGAUACUCUUCCAGUUGAACUGCAACUGAACAAGUCUGAAGACACUGUCAGCCUUUCUUUGUCUGUCCGAGCAUAUCUGCCCACUGAAAAUUACUGAGCCAAAUUCAAUAUAAGAUGAUCUUUGUCUGUCUGAGCAUUAUAUAA